GCCUGGGUGGCUCAGAUGGUUGAGUGUCUGACUUCGGUUCAGGUCAUGAUCUCACAGUUUGUGAGUUCAAGCCCCACAUUGGGCU
rnacentral:tRNA from 1 species